CGGGGGGGCAAGCGUUACUCGGAAUUAUUGGGCGUAAAGGGCGCGUAGGCGGUCGUGUGCGUCGGAGGUGAAAUCCCCAGGCUUAACCUGGGAACUGCCUCCGAUACGGCAUGGCUUGAGUCCGGGAGAGGGGAGCAGAAUUCCCAGUGUAGCGGUGAAAUGCGUAGAUAUUGGGAGGAAUACCAGUGGCGAAGGCGGCUCCCUGGACCGGUACUGACGCUGAGGCGCGAAAGCGUGGGUAGCAAACAGGAUUAGAUACCCUGGUAGUCCACGCCGUAAACGAUGGGUGCUUGGUGCUGGGGGUAUCGACCCCUCCGGUGCCGAAGCUAACGCAUUAAGCACCCCGCCUGGGGAGUACGGUCGCAAGGCUG
rnacentral:rRNA from 1 species